rnacentral:misc_RNA from 1 species
AUCGAGUAGAAAUCGGUUUAUACAAAUAUUGAGGUUGUUCCAAAGCUCUAGGCCGUCAUUUUGUUCCUGAUUCAAAUCAAAUUCAAGGAUCAACAGACGAACUGGAUUCUCUCUUUGGAGGGAAAACAUCAACUAAAGAUGCAAUGCUAUAUACCGCGAUUAUCAUUUUCAUCAUAAGCUGUGUUGCCCUUUUAUUCGUGAUAUUUGGUUUGUUUGUGAUGCACCAAUCAUACAAGAGAAGAUACAGGCAAGUGCAAGCAGCUUCCGUAGAGGUAGAUCGAUGGCGUGGGGAAGUUGAUGAAUUCAUUCUUGAUUCACACCGAAUGGUUCCUAUUCCAAGGGCAAAGAGCAUGCAGCCGAGAUCGAGUACAUUAGUUGAAGCCAUGUCAUAAGAUAUAUCUUGCAAGAGAAGACUUACUUGAAAAGACAAUCUGAGUAUAUUUUUACCCGACACUAUAUCUACCUUCAUCACUGACUUCUACCGUCACAUGCCAAUCAAUGGGAAGGGAAACUAGGGGGACUGGGGGAGAGCCUCCCCUCCUCCUCUCCCCAAUCUUCACUUCCUCCACGUCCAAAUUUUCUGUGCGCCUCUGUUGAAGUGUCAGGAAAUUUCGCGUCAAAAUAUGCUCGUUAGUUAGCUAUAUAUGAGUUUGUUGCUCAGGGAGUUACAGAUAGAUAUGUAGACUGAUACAUAAGAAAUUUGAUUUUUUUUUUUUUUUUAAAGAAAAAAAAAAAGCUAAGAAAAAAGAUCCAUGGUGUGGCGUAAACUAUUGUCUUUGCCAACCGAUGAAGCAAAGCAACUUGGCAAGAACAUUUCUGAUGAUGGUUGGCAAACUAACAUCACAAUGCUAAUAGUUGUAAACAAAAUCUAGCGCUAUAUAUAGAAAUAAAUAAUAUUCACUUUAAAACUUUCUCUAUCCGCCCUUCGUACAACCGGGACCUGAUGAUUGGAAACCUAUUGUUUGUCCUCAAAAUUGAGCUGCAUUCCGACGUGCUGCAAGGGGACUAUAGACAUGAAGCAUGAUGAACAAAAGAUGUUCCUACUGAAGCUAGACCACAAUGCACCAUGUUCGCUAUCUCGAAAAAGGUCUAUAGAGCGUUUUCACGUGACGUCACAACGGCCAUCUUGGUGUACCAACACACUACACUUUCUAUCUUCGGGGAAUUGAACUUUAUUUUUAUGCAAAAACUGUGGAGAAAGUUUCUAUUGUUUGGUACUGUACAUCAAUAUGGCUGCCUUGUCACGUGAGUGAAAACGCUCUAUAGAUUAGUUUGAAUGAAUAUCAUCUUUACAUAUUACACGCACGAAAGAGUUCAUCAUGUUUAUAGACUUUGUGUUUACAGGUUUCAAAACUCUGUUGAGGUAUUAUUCUCCUGUGUUUUAGCCUGACAAAGAGUUCCCAAACCCUCUCGAGCUUGUUUUCGAUCAGUUUAUCGACUGCAUAUAAGCUGUUCUUCUUUUCGUUCUUUGAUAAACUCAAAAACCUGUCCUAAGUAGAGUGACGUACCAAAGAAAUAAUUCAAAUAGUUUGAAUAAGUUAUAAGUCUUUAUAUCGAUCCAUCGUGACGCCAGAGCUGAAGUAUACAAACUUAUUAAAUCUCUACUUUUAUCACUGUAUCGGCGACAAUAUGGUCACAAAAUUCAGCUGCAUUUCAGUUGUUUUACUGCUUUUACUUCUAGUAAACAAAGCAUCUGCAAAUGAUUUGAAUACUUUGUUUGGCAUAUCGUCAGGAGAUGAUGACACAGUGCUCUACGUGACAAUUGCUUUCGUCGUGUUGGCUGUUGUUCUACUUAUUUGCAUGAUCAUCUGUUUGUAUUGGUUAUACAAAGUGAUACAGGGAAUUAUCAAAAAGAGGCAAGAAGAGAUGGAAGAGAGACGUCGAUGGCAUGGUGGAGUUGAUGACAUCAUUGACGACGCACAAAAAAUGGUUCCAUUGCCAAGGGCAACCAACACGUUAGAAAAAGGCUACAUAAAUAACAGCUACUCGAAUACAGGCAUCGACUUCGUUAACAGCCGCAUUUAGAAUAGAAAAAUAUGUAAAGCACUAAUGUACCAUGGAGAAGCGUACGUUAUAUUUCUUAUAAUUAUACUGAAAAAUACAGUCAACGCAUUGGUAUAGGUCAACAAAUGUUGUUGGUGAAGUUUGCAAUAGAUUGACACGUAAUUGAUACUGGAUGGCAAAACAAAUUGGACUCUUCAUUUAAAGAUUUUUUUUGCUGGAUUACUAAUGUCAUAUCAAAACCCUUUUCAAAAAUAGCAGUCAUAUAUCCACACGUGACUGUUUGUUGCAAAAGGCCUAUUGCAUGACAAUCUAAAGCGAACUAAAGAAAGGUCAUACCUUAAGCUAAAAAAAUAAUCCUAUUUUUAAAGCGACAAUCGUACAUAUUUUGAAACCACCACUCCCCAUAAGGGGCUCUUCCAAGAGGUUACCUCCACAAAGACUACCACGAUUACAUUCUGUUUCUUGCCAAAUCCAAAAUAGCGAAAAAGAAUCUAUCGACUCAAGCUAGUCGGCCCGCUAUUUCAAAAGAAAACAAACAUCAACAUUUUUGCUACACUUUUAUUUUUAAAACCAGCCCUUGAAUUAACAAUAAGGGCAGACUGUUUCUGCGCGAAACUUUACAUAGUAAAGAUUAAACAAUGCAUGGCUUAGAUUUACAGGUGCUAACUACAGUAGUUCUACUUCUAAUAUGUUUACAAGUUGCAUAUUGGCAUAUACUUGACUACAAAUCCUUAAUUCGAUACUUGAAAUGACAAAUAGACAAACCAAUUUGAAAAUUAUUUGGAGAAAAGAACCCAACGGGACAACGAAUACAAAAAAAACCCCUCAAACUUCAAUGAUUUUUUUGUAUUCUUUUCCUGCCUAGUUCUCUUACACAAGAUAAUUUUCGAAGUGGUCUUUAUGGAGAUAACUAAGGUUCAAAGUGCCAGCAUUUUAUCGAUGUUAAGUGCAGAAAACAGUUGGUUAAAUUUAUGCUUUUAUCGAAAAAGCAAAUCAAUAAUAAUCCCAACACUCUUAAAUUUCCAGGGCAGGGGAAGUCGAAAAAAUCAAUAUUAUUAACGUAAGUUUCGUUGACGCCAUCUUGAAAAGUCACCAAGCCUCUUUUCGUUAUUGCGUCAAUUUUGUGUAGGAGGCUAAGUUACUUUUCAAAAUGGCCGAAAGGAAAGGGAAAAAACGAGCGGUUUUUAGCAUCUCUGGAUUAAGUGCUUGAAAUCUGUACAUAAAAAAUUAUACAAUUUACCACGAAUAAGAUUAAAGAGCACAAAAAACCAA